ensembl:lncRNA
UUGGGUGCUCACUCGCUUUCUCUUUCUCCACAGGCAGCGGCGUAAGUACAGGUUUCCUCUGUUUCUCCUUGUGUUACUCACUCUCUCUUUCCUUUCCUCUCCACAGGUAUCAACUUGGGCACAAUAGCACAGUUACUCUGCUUUGGAUGGCUUUCACCUCUGGGCUGGACACAGCGUACUGUGCUAUCUCCGGAGAUCUGAAGCACGCUCACAACAUAUACUGUACUGAACUAGGCUAGGACCAGCAGUCUCCUUGUCCUCCCGCGACGAAGUGCGUGAAGGCGGGGAUUUAUCUGACAGGACACACGGCAAUACACAGCAGCCCACAGCAAUAUACAGCACCACG